UACGAAGGGGGCUAGCGUUGUUCGGAAUUACUGGGCGUAAAGGGCGCGUAGGCGGUGUGUCAAGUCAGGCGUGAAAGCCCCGGGCUCAACCUGGGAACCGCGCUUGAGACUGGCACGCUCGAGUUCGGGAGAGGAUGGUGGAAUUCCCAGUGUAGAGGUGAAAUUCGUAGAUAUUGGGAAGAACACCGAUGGCGAAGGCAGCCAUCUGGACCGACACUGACGCUGAGGAGCGGAAAAGCG
rnacentral:rRNA from 1 species